UACAGGGGGGGCAAGCGUUGUUCGGAAUUACUGGGCGUAAAGGGCUCGUAGGCGGCCAACUAAGUCCGACGUGAAAUCCCAAGGCUUAACUUUGGAACUGCGUCGGAUACUGGAUGGCUUGAAUUCGGGAGAGGGAUGCAGAAUUCCAGGUGUAGCGGUGAAAUGCGUAGAUAUCUGGAGGAAUACCGGUGGCGAAGGCGGCAUCCUGGACCGACAUUGACGCUGAGGCGCGAAAGCCAGGGGAGCAAACGGG
rnacentral:rRNA from 1 species